rnacentral:rRNA from 1 species
CAGCAGCCGCGGUAAUACGUAGGGUGCGAGCGUUAAUCGGAUUUACUGGGCGUAAAGCGUGCGCAGGCGGCCCGUUAAGACAGGUGUGAAAUCCCUGGGCUCAACCUAGGAAUUGCGCUUGUGACUGGCGGGCUCGAGUACGGUAGAGGGGGGUGGAAUUCCUGGUGUAGCAGUGAAAUGCGUAGAGAUCAGGAGGAACACCGAUGGCGAAGGCAGCCCCCUGGGCCUGUACUGACGCUCAUGCACGAAAGCGUGGGGAGCAAACAGGAUUAGAUACCCUGGUAGUCCACGCCCUAAACGAUGGGUACUAGCCGUUUGGUGCGCGAUAGCGCUGAGUGGCGAAGCUAACGCGUGAAGUACCCCGCCUUGGGAGUACGGCCGCAGGGUUGAAACUUAAAGGAAUUGGCGGG